AUUGAACGCUGGCGGCAGGCCUAACACAUGCAAGUCGAGCGGAUGAAGGGAGCUGCUCCUGGAUUCAGCGGCGGACGGGUGAGUAAUGCCUAGGAAUCUGCCUGGGAGUGGGGGAUAACGUCCGGAAACGGGCGCUAAUACCGCAUACGUCCUGAGGGAGAAAGUGGGGGAUCUUCGGACCUCACGCUAUCAGAUGAGCCUAGGUCGGAUUAGCUAGUUGGUGGGGUAAAGGCCUACCAGGGCGACGAUCCGUAACUGGUCUGAGAGGAUGAUCAGUCACACUGGAACUGAGACACGGUCCAGACUCCUACGGGAGGCAGCAGUGGGGAAUAUUGGACAAUGGGCGAAAGCCUGAUCCAGCCAUGCCGCGUGUGUGAAGAAGGUCUUCGGAUUGUAAAGCACUUUAAGUUGGGAGGAAGGGCAGUAAGUUAAUACCUUGCUGUUUUGACGUUACCAACAGAAUAAGCACCGGCUAACUUCGUG
rnacentral:rRNA from 1 species